rnacentral:rRNA from 1 species
CGUGAAAUUGUUGAAAGGGAAGCGUUUAUGACCAGACUUGGGCUUGGCUAAUCAUCUGGGGUUCUCCCCAGUGCACUUUUCCAGUCCAGGCCAGCAUCAGUUUUCCCCGGGGGAUAAAGGCGGCGGGAAUGUGGCUCUCUUCGGGGAGUGUUAUAGCCCACCGUGUAAUACCCUGGGGGGGACUGAGGUUCGCGCAUCUGCAAGGAUGCUGGCGUAAUGGUCAUCAACGACCCGUCUUGAAACACGG